AUUGAACGCUGGCGGCGUGCCUAACACAUGCAAGUCGAGCGGCAGCGCGGGGCAACCUGGCGGCGAGCGGCGGACGGGUGAGUAACGCUUGAGAAUCUGCCUAUUAGUGGGGGACAACCCGGGGAAACUCGGGCUAAUACCGCAUACGCACUACGGUGGAAAGCCGGGGACCGCAAGGCCUGGCGCUAAUAGAUGAGCUCAAGUCGGAUUAGCUAGUUGGUAGGGUAACGGCCUACCAAGGCGACAAUCCGUAGCUGGUCUGAGAGGACGACCAGCCACACCGGAACUGAGACACGGUCCGGACUCCUACGGGAGGCAGCAGUGGGGAAUAUUGGACAAUGGGCGAAAGCCUGAUCCAGCGACGCCGCGUGGGUGAAGAAGGCCUGCGGGUUGUAAAGCCCUUUCGGUGGGGAAGAAAUGCUUCGAGCUAAUACCUCGGGGCUUUGACGUAACCCACAGAAGAAGCACCGGCUAACUCUGUGCCAGCCGCCGCCGUAACAC
rnacentral:rRNA from 1 species